rnacentral:rRNA from 1 species
GAUGAACGCUGGCGGUAUGCUUAACACAUGCAAGUCGAACGCACCUUUCGGGGUGAGUGGCGGACGGGUGAGUAACGCGUGAGAAUCUGGCUUCAGGUCUGGGACAACCACUGGAAACGGUGGCUAAACCGGAUGUGCCGUUGGGUGAAAGGUUAACUGCCUGAAGAUGAGCUCGCGUCUGAUUAGCUAGUAGGUGUGGUAAGAGCGCACCUAGGCGACGAUCAGUAGCUGGUCUGAGAGGAUGAUCAGCCACACUGGGACUGAGACACGGCCCAGACUCCUACGGGAGGCAGCAGUGGGGAAUUUUCCGCAAUGGGCGAAACC